rnacentral:rRNA from 1 species
CCCUUAGACGUUCUGGGCCGCACGCGCGCUACACUGACCAGUGCAACAAGCAUCCGUCCUUGGCCGACAGGCCCGGGCAAUCUUUGAACGCUGGUCGUGAUGGGGAUAGACUUUUGCAAUUUUUGGUCUUCAACGAGGAAUUCCUAGUAAACGCAAGUCAUCAACUUGCAUUGCUUACGUCCCUGCCCUUUGUACACACCGCCCGUCGCACCUACCGAUUGAAUGGUCCGGUGAAGCCUCCGGAUUGGCGCGCACCUCGGUGCCGCCGAGAAGUUGGCUAAACCUUACCAUUUAGAGGAAGGUGAAGUCGUAACA